rnacentral:rRNA from 1 species
UACAGAGGGGGCAAGCGUUAUUCGGAAUUAUUGGGCGUAAAGGGCGCGUAGGCGGCUUGGCAAGUGGAAGGUGAAAUCCCUCGGCUUAACCGAGGAACUGCCUUUCAGACUGCUUGGCUUGAGACCGGGAGAGGUGAGUGGAAUUCCCAGUGUAGCGGUGAAAUGCGUAGAUAUUGGGAGGAACACCAGUGGCGAAGGCGGCUCACUGGACCGGUACUGACGCUGAGGCGCGAAAGCUAGGGGAGCGAACGGG